rnacentral:rRNA from 1 species
AUUGAACGCUGGCGGCAGGCCUAACACAUGCAAGUCGAGCGAGCGGCGGACGGGUGAGUAAUGUCUGUGAAACUGCCUGAUGGAGGGGGAUAACUACUGGAAACGGUAGCUAAUACCGCAUACCAUCAGAUGUGCCCCGAUGGGUUUAGCUAGUAGGUGGGGUAACGGCUCACCUAGGCGACGAUGCCUAGCUGGUCUGAGAGGAUGACCAGCCACACUGGAACUGAGACACGGUCCAGACUCUUACGGGAGGAAGCAGUGGGAAAUGUUGGACAAUGAGCGCAAGCCUGAUGCAGCCAUGCCGAGUGUGUGAAGAAGGCCUUCGGGUUGAAAAGCACUUUCAGCGGGGAGGCGUUACCCGCAGAGGAAGCACCGGCUAACUCCGUGCCAGCAGCCGCGGUAAUAC